CUACGGGGUGCACCAGUUAGGUAUAAUCUACAAUGCGCGCAAGCGUGAUAGUUUGAGCCAGAGUGUUUUUCAUUGAAAGACUUUUAUGGAAUGUAAAAAGUUCCACGAAUAAGGACUGGGUAAGACUAGUGCCAGCCGCCGCGGUAAUACUAGCGGUCCAAGUCGCAGCCAUUUUUAUUGGGUCUAAAACAUCCGUAGCUUGCUUGAUAAGUCUUCUGUGAAAUUUUAUAUCUCAAAUAUGAAGCGUGCAGAAGGUACUGUCAAGCUAGAGACUGGUAGACGUAAAGAGUAUGUUCAGAGUAGCGGUAAAAUGUGUUAAUCCUGGACAGACUAACAAGAGCGAAGGCACUUUACGAGAACAGUUCUGACAGUAAGGGAUGAAGGCUAGGGGCGCAAAACGGAUUAGAUACCCGUGUAGUC
rnacentral:rRNA from 1 species